rnacentral:rRNA from 1 species
GUUCGGACUGUAGGCUGCAACUCGCCUACACGAAGCUGGAAUCGCUAGUAAUCGCGGAUCAGCACGCCGCGGUGAAUACGUUCCCGGGCCUUGUACACACCGCCCGUCACACCAUGAGAGUCUGUAACACCCAAAGCCGGUGGGAUAACCUUUAUAGGAGUCAGCCGUCUAAGGUAGGACAGAUGAUUAGGGUGAAGUCGUAACAAGGUAAC